rnacentral:rRNA from 1 species
AAAGGUUCUUCCGGUACCAAACUCAGAACCCAAACUCCCUGAGCUGCUUGCUAGAUGUGGUUGAGAUCAAGGCAACGUUGAGGGAAACGAAGGAAAUUAGUUUAGCCGGCGGCCACCCGCCCAAAAUAAAAUGAUAUUCGUCGUUAUACUUAGGAAAAACCAGAAACCUAAAACAAAACCUUAUUUUUUUGUUUGUUUUGUGGUGAGUGAGCAUCGCAAGAGAAGAACAAGAAGGAGGGGAGGAGGAGGAGGAGGAAGGAAGGAAGGGAAGGAAGGACACAGACGAGAGGAGGAGAGAGCAGCACGACGACGACGGCGACCCGAACCCGAACCCGAACCCGAACCCGCCCGGGAUCUAGGCCGCCAGGAGGCGGCGGCUGCGGGACGGCGGCGGCCGGAAUAGGCAAGUAGCGCGCGCGCCCCGUAGGAAUAGGAAUAGGAAUCCCGUCCCGUCCCGUCCCGUCCUGGUCUGGUGUACACGGCAGUUGGCAGCUGUGAACUCGACAGAGGUCUACUCGUCGAACGACGACUUCUUUGGAAGUUCAACAUGACGUUCGGUCAACUCGAGACGUUACAAUAGGUUUUUGCUCGGGAACUAUUACAUAACAUGAUAUAUAGGGCGAAAAGACGUUUCUACGGAGGUAAUGUACUAUGUCCGUUCGGCGUUUUUCUCCUAAGUUGAUUGACAUAGGGAAAGAGCUCCGUGUUUAUGACUGGUGUUGUAGAAGGGGGAAAUACAAAACAAUCGAUGUGGAUGAUCACUAUCGUAGGGUGAACUUCCCGUAAGAGGCUAUAUAGCUAAGUCAGCACGGACAAACGAAUGCAGUAAGUGACUUAAACGAUCAUUUCUGGUGUUGUUUCGGUGUAAGUGUUAAGGUCUGCAGUUCUUAUAUCGUUGGAGGGCUCGAACGUUGGAGUCGUAAUAGGAAUAGGCAACACAAAGUCUAAGUCUUCCCGUCCAACCUCUUUUAUUGACGAGACCCCUGGUACACCUUCGUAGACGAGAGGCUUUCGAACUUCCCUUUACAAAGACCCCAUUUUAUGGUUAAUUAAAUGAACCAAGCAGCAACCUCUUAACGCACUGAAAUUUAAACCCUGUAUGACACCUCAACCGAAGAUGUCAAUGAUACUUGGGUUCAAAGAAUCUCGGUUUUAAAGACCUCGUCCUGUCAACGAACUGUAAAACGAGAGUAUUCCAACUACGAUGCCCAAGUAUAGUUGAGGUUCAACCGUAUAGGCAAGUUCUCCGACCACGUUCUCUGUACAGACUUAGAGGCAUAUUAUCAAUGAGUAUGUCACUACAGGGUGGAAGUAGUAAUGGAGUAUAAUAUUCCAAUUCUCGACCAUUACACUAAAAGUUGAAGUUCAUGAUGUUGUUAUGAUACGUUUUCUGACUUCAGUGGCUUCUAAAACGAACGCGGAAAACGAACCAUUUCACGCCUUCGAUGUUCCCGGACCCCACAGUGAACUUGAGUUGCGUACUGGAUAAGGUGAAACUCAAAACCUAUAGACUUCUUACGGUCCGACAAUUACAAUCAGACUUCCGACUACGGACCUUUUACCUCGAACACCCGUUCCCUCAACUAGGUUCUGUAGUUUGUAAAAGGAUGACGAGUUCCGAAUUCUACGCAGCAGCUUCCAGCGAUCGGUGUCAACUCUUAUAUUCGGGACAUGUAGGUGUAUAGUACCUAAGUCAAAGUGGACUUCUACGGGUCCGUCCUAGCAGAUUUCUGCUCAAACAAGUCUCCCUUCUACUAUUAUUAAGUCAUCGUGGGCUAAGACGGCUCGUACUAGUGAGUAAUUUACCAUCGUUAGAAUGUGGUGGCUGUCAUGAUCUCAAACCCUUCUGUUCCUUUGAUAGACGCCUCGCUUCACUAGGGUCUUUGGCUGUUGAAGACGUCUUUGCAGUCAAGAAGGUAAGAGUGUCCCGUGUCGGUUACCGUCACCUUGUUCAAAACAGUCUAGUACUGUCGCUCCUACUUCAACUGCUACUGUAACGGCUGAACCUUCUAUCUGCCUACGAACGACUAAAAGAACUACAGUGCUUUCUACUCUUCGAAUAAUACGUAUACACCUUAAGUAAAUAAGCCUUUGUUUCCCACGAUCGACUACCCGUAUAUGGAACCCGGACACUCCCGAAGAGGGCCGAAGUACCUGGCGUCGAACAUGUUUUGGGAGGAGACGAGACCACGACCGCAAACCACUACUAAUUCGACACCUUGGUGUCGGACGACCUACGCGCGCGGUACUUGUGUACGUUGUGGUAAGAACUCCCUAUGGUUGGGUUGUUGUUCUGCAAAAUUAAGGUUCUUCUUUUACAACUACAAACGGCCUAUUAAGAAAGGAUGGUUCAGCAAAGGGGAUUCUAUCUAUAAACAGAAAAAAAAUAAAUUUUUUCAGUGAGAGGUAUGAAAACUUACAAAUCUGAAACGUGAACAGCAAGGGGAAAAUUUAAUGUUUAAGAGGUUUCUUUAACCAUUAGUUCAGUGUUUCUUACACAAUCGAAAGGGGCUGUAUAUUUCCCG